rnacentral:rRNA from 1 species
AACGAACGCUGGCGGCAGGCCUAACACAUGCAAGUCGAGCGCUCUCUUCGGAGGGAGCGGCGGACGGGUUAGUAACGCGUGGGAAUGUACCCUUCUCUAAGGAAUAGCCAUUGGAAACGAUGAGUAAUACCUUAUACGCCCCCCGGGUCAAACUGGGGGGGAAAGAGUUUAUCGGAGAGGGAUCAGCCCGCGUAAGAUUAGAUAGUUGGUGGGGUAAUGGCCUACCAAGUCUACGAUCUUUAGCUGGUUUUAGAGGAUGAUCAGCAACACUGGAACUGAGACACGGCCCAGACUCCUACGGGAGGCAGCAGUGGGGAAUCUUGGACAAUGGGCGCAAGCCUGAUCCAGCCAUGCCGCGUGAGUGAUGAAGGCCUUAGGGUCGUAAAGCUCUUUCGCCAGAGAUGAUAAUGACAGUAUCUGGUAAAGAAGUCCCGGCUAACUCCGUG